CCGCUUAUCGAACUGCACGCACGAUUUUUGCUCGGGUGAUUAUAAAAAGGAUCACAUCACAGAAACAUUCAUAGUGCUCUAACAAUCCAUUGGGAACGAAGAAGCUUUUAUCUAAGAAAUAUCAAGAAGAAUUCUGUAAAAAGAAGACAACAUGGGAGACAAUCAAAUCAUAGUUUAUCCUGAAACACAGUAUGGUGGAUCGGAACAGAUCUAUACAGCUAGUGAAGGAUAUUUAUCCCCCCCUGCUCUGUCAGCUGAUCUAUCAGGCGCAAAGGGCUCUUGGGAGUUUUAUUCAGAGCACAAUUAUGCUGGCAGAAGUCACCAAGCAAAACCAGGUGACAAAAUUCCAAAUUUCAAAGCGUAUGGUGGAUUUUCGGGAGGAGCCAAGAGCGUCAAGCAACUAGCCUAGGACAAUCGUUGGUCUUACAUUAUCACAAAUUUAUUUUUAAAAUUUGUAUCAUGUUUUGGAAUCAAUAAAAUAUUGAAUUCAUUCUUUGCUCGUAA